ACCAUCUCUCUCUCUCUCUCCCUGAUAUAUUUUCCUCCUCCAUCUUUGAAGCUUCAUCUUCCAAAAACCUAGGUCCAAGAUUUGUAAGCUACCUCCUCUCUUCUUCCAUUCCAUUCUCUAGUUUAAGUUGAUAAGAUGAUGUAUUUAUGUGGGUUUGUUUGUGUGCUUGUGAGUGGAAAUGGUGAAGUUGUUGCUAUGUUUUGGUUUGGAGAAGGAAGAUGAAGGGUGAAGAAGAAGAGUUUAGACAUGGUUUUGGCUAGAUCAAGGAUGCUCAAGAUGGGCCCAGCAGUGUGAAGAUGUCGAGUUAGAUUAGUCUCGUAGAUAGAGAUGUCUAAACUCUAGUACCAUUGAUGCUAUGUAUGGAUUGUAGUUUUAUCGACUUUAUGUUUGAGGAUUGAUGUAGACUAUGUUGGGGUGACGUUUUUCCCCUUACAUUUCCAGUAUUUAUUUUAGUACCCAGACUUAAUCUUA